AAUAGAUACCCCGGUAGUCCACGCCGUAGACGAUGAGUGCUAGGUGUUAGGGGGUCCAACCCCUUAGUGCUGAAGUUAACACAUUAAGCACUCCGCCUGGGGAGUACGACCGCAAGGUUGAAACUCAAAGGAAUUGACGGGGGCCCGCACAAGCAGUGGAGCAUGUGGUUUAAUUCGAAGCAACGCGAAGAACCUUACCAGGUCUUGACAUCCUCUGACAACCCUAGAGAUAGGGCGUUCCCCUUCGGGGGACAGAGUGACAGGUGGUGCAUGGUUGUCGUCAGCUCGUGUCGUGAGAUGUUGGGUUAAGUCCCGCAACGAGCGCAACCCUUGAUGUUAGUUGCCAGCAUUCAGUUGGGCACUCUAACGUGACUGCCGGUGACAAACCGGAGGAAGGUGGGGAUGACGUCAAAUCAUCAUGCCCCUUAUGACCUGGGCUACACACGUGCUACAAUGGGCGGUACAAAGGGCAGCGAAACCGCGAGGUGGAGCCAAUCCCAUAAAGCCGCUCUCAGUUCGGAUUGCAGGCUGCAAC
rnacentral:rRNA from 1 species